ACAGAGGGGGCAAGCGUUAUUCGGAAUUAUUGGGCGUAAAGGGCGCGUAGGCGGUGCUUUAAGUGAGAUGUGUAAUCCCCGAGCUUAACUUGGGAACUGCAUCUCAGACUGAAGCGCUAGAGUACUGGAGAGGGUGGUAGAAUUCCACGUGUAGCGGUGAAAUGCGUAGAGAUGUGGAGGAAUACCGGUGGCGAAGGCGGCCGCCUGGACAGUAACUGACGCUGAGGCGCGAAAGUGUGGGUAGCAAACAG
rnacentral:rRNA from 1 species